GCAUAUCAAUAAGCGGAGGAAAAGAAACCAACAGGGAUUACCUCAGUAACGGCGAGUGAAGCGGUAACAGCUCAAAUUUGAAAGCUAGCUCUUUUAGGGUUCGCAUUGUAAUUUGUAGAAGAUGCUUCGGGUGUGGCCCCGGUCUAAGUUCCUUGGAACAGGACGUCAUAGAGGGUGAGAAUCCCGUAUGUGACUGGGUGCUUUCGCUCAUGUGAAGCUCUUUCGACGAGUCGAGUUGUUUGGGAAUGCAGCUCAAAAUGGGUGGUAAAUUUCAUCUAAAGCUAAAUAUUGGCCAGAGACCGAUAGCGCACAAGUAGAGUGAUCGAAAGAUGAAAAGCACUUUGGAAAGAGAGUUAAACAGUACGUGAAAUUGUUGAAAGGGAAGCGCUUGCAACCAGACUUGCGCGCUGAUGAUCAUCCGGGCUUCUGCCCGGUGCACUCGUCUGCGCUCAGGCCAGCAUCGGUUUCGGUGGUGGGAUAAAGGCCUUGGGAAUGUAGCUCCUCUCGGGGAGUGUUAUAGCCCUCGGUGCAAUGCCGCCUACCGGGACCGAGGACCGCGCUUCGGCUAGGAUGCUGGCGUAAUGGUUGUAAGCGACCCGUCUUGAAACACGGACCAAGGAGUCUAACAUCUAUGCGAGUGUUUGGGUGUCAAACCCAUACGCGUAAUGAAAGUGAACGGAGGUGAGAACCCUUAAGGGUGCAUCAUCGACCGAUCCUGAUGUCUUCGGAUGGAUUUGAGUAAGAGCAUAGCUGUUGGGACCCGAAAGAUGGUGAACUAUGCGUGAAUAGGGUGAAGCCAGAGGAAACUCUGGUGGAGGCUCGCAGCGGUUCUGACGUGCAAAUCGAUCGUCAAAUUUGCGUAUAGGGGCGAAAGACUAAUCGAAACCAUCUAGUAGCUGGUUUCCUGCCGA
rnacentral:rRNA from 1 species